ACCCCUCUGGUGUAUCGGUUAACGUAGCGGGUUCUCGUUCCGUCGCGCAGGGUUCGACUCCCUGGGUGGGGGG